CUGGGAGGCUGCGGGGGGCGGGCAGAGCACUGCGAAGUCCUUGCCGGCUCCAGGACCCGCCGGGUCCUCUAACGAAGUCCCGGCUUCAUGGCCGGCACAGAGAGGUAGCGUUGAGGUGUGGAGUCUUGAAGACGCUGCCCAGACUGAUGCCACCUCUGUGUCCCCAGGAUGCGUGGCGACAGCAGGAGAGGCCCCUCCCUGACCCCCAACCGCCCCCAACGCAGAAGCUCAAGGAGGCUGCGGCCUACUUGCAGUGUCGCAUGCAUGAGCGAGA
rnacentral:lncRNA from 1 species